UGGGGAAUCUUGCGCAAUGGGCGAAAGCCUGACGCAGCGACGCCGCGUGAGGGAAGAAGGCCUUCGGGUUGUAAACCUCUUUCAGCAGGGACGAAGCUACUCGGGUUAACAGCCCAGAGGGUGACGGUACCUGUAGAAGAAGCCCCGGCUAACUACGUGCCAGCAGCCGCGGUAAUACGUAGGGGGCAAGCGUUGUCCGGAUUUACUGGGCGUAAAGAGCGUGUAGGCGGCCAAGCAGGUCUGUUGUGAAAACUGGAGGCUCAACCUCCAGACGUCGACAGAAACCGCUUGGCUAGAGUCCGGAAGAGGAGAGUGGAAUUCCUGGUGUAGCGGUGAAAUGCGCAGAUAUCAGGAAGAACACCAAUGGCGAAGGCAGCUCUCUGGGACGGUACUGACGCUGAGACGCGAAAGCGUGGGGGAGCGAACAGGAUUAGAUACCCUGGUAGUCCACGCCGUAAACGAUGGGUGCUAGGUGUGGGGAGGUGUCGACUCCUUCCGUGCCGUAG
rnacentral:rRNA from 1 species